UGGGGAAUCUUGCGCAAUGGGCGAAAGCCUGACGCAGCGACGCCGCGUGAGUGAUGAAGGCCCUCGGGUUGUAAAGCUCUGUGGAGGGGGACGAAUAAGCAUUGGUUAAUAUCCAGUGUGAUGACGGUACCCUUUUAGCAAGCACCGGCUAACUCUGUGCCAGCAGCCGCGGUAAGACAGAGGGUGCAAACGUUGUUCGGAAUUACUGGGCGUAAAGCGCGUGUAGGCUGCUUCGCAAGUCGGAUGUGAAAGCCCUGGGCUCAACCCAGGAAGUGCAUUCGAAACUGCAGAGCUGGAGUCCUGGAGAGGAAGGCGGAAUUCUCGGUGUAGAGGUGAAAUUCGUAGAUAUCGAGAGGAACACCGGUGGCGAAGGCGGCCUUCUGGACAGUGACUGACGCUGAGACGCGAAAGCGUGGGGAGCAAACA
rnacentral:rRNA from 2 species